AACCCAUGAUGUGGACAUUGUAGCAAAAGGCCUUUAAAGCACUCUUAACAUUCAUUAAAAGGUUCUCCAUUAUCUUGCUUAAAGUUAAAGAUUUGCCCUCUCAAAGU